CCUAUUUGAACUUGAAGACACUUGGGAAAAACAAUUGGAAAAAAUGGUGGAAUCGAAGAGGCAAAACCUUCACCUUUCGGGGGAGGAGAAGGAGCAUCGACGCCAUUACCAGAGUGGCAAAAACCUCGGCUUGAAGCAGAACCAGAAAAAACUAAAGAACCUAGUCUAGAAUGGAUUGCUUUACAAUUCGACAAGGCUAAGCAAGAAAGAAGUGAACAAGGAUGUGAGGAUGUGCAACAAGACAAGUGGGAAGCAUACAUUCUUCUUGAGAUCAAACGAGCUCAAGAAGAACUAGCACAAGUAAAAGGAGAAGAAGAACAUGUGAUUGUGCCACCGGAAAAGAGGCAAUUUGAACAAGGAAAGUGCAUCAAAGGGAUGUCUUUAGACCCCUAUUGCAAUUGCUCUUCACACCCAUGCCCUGGAUUCGAUAAACUCACUCUUGAUACUCCCAUGGGUGCUGUGGAGGAGUAUACCGAUCAUUAUGUCCCUAUUUGGCUCCAUUACAUCAGUCAACUUCGUCAAACCCAUUGUUUUGACAUUGAUGUCCAUCCCGGUUCGUCUUUGGGUGCUGGAGUAUUAGUAUAUAACUUCAAUGAAGAUGCUGAGUUAAUGAUGGAACUGGCUAACCGCGCCAUUCAGGAAUAUAACGAGAGAGAGUGUAAU